UAGAGAAUGUGAAGGAUAAUGUUGCUUUAGCAACGGCCCGAAGGGCGAGGCGAAGCCGAGUCAUCCUGCACGACCCACCA
rnacentral:sRNA from 2 species